rnacentral:lncRNA from 1 species
GCAUGUAUUUAUCUCUUUAUACUUAUAUUGAAUGUAAUGUAUAAGCAUCAACGAAAUAAGUUAAAUUUAAUGUGAUUUAUAACUUAUGAUUUCACUUUGUUUUACACCAGAAUAACAACAGGGAUGUACAGUUCAAACUAAUUCAACAAGCAUGUCCCUUUCAGUGUUUAUAUGUACCUUUCUUAUAUUAGAUGAUUCACUCUACUGAUCAGAUACAACCAUUGAGAUCAAGAAUGUUCAAUGUCGGUCGCAGCGUAUAAACACAAUGUCAUUUACAUCUGAUUAAGCUGGGGUCACACAUUCACGAUUUUUACAGCCGUCCUUGACAGGACCAUUUCCGAUUAAAAUUUGUCAAAAGUCUGAUCAAGAUCCUGUGAAUCGUUAUUGGAAAUUCAAACUUUAAGCUGGGUUCACACAUUCACGAUUUUAACUGCCGUCCUUGACAGGACCAUUCCCGAUUAGAAUUGAUUAAAAGUCUGAUCAAGAUCCUAUGAAUUGUGGACGGAAAUUCAAACUUUAAUCAAAAUUUGUAAAAAAAAAAAAUUAAUCACAGACAAUCAGAAAUAGUUCAAGAAGCGUCGAUAUUCAACCGUUUCCAAGCGAAUUUAUCCCGAUGAUCCUGUUCUAAAUCCGCUUCUAAUCCGAUUUGUAUCUUUCGCCAGGUAAAAUUCGACUGAGUCUGUCACGACUGCGUCCCGAUUCUACCGAAUGUAAUCCAACAGAGAUCAGAUAGUGACAAGACAGUGAACCAACGCUGAAGGAAGUUAUCCGUUCGAAAACUGUCGGCAUACUCGGGAGGAUCAGGUACUGUCGAGACGUAAUCCUAUCACGGUCAGCUCUAUCGCAUUGCAAACGGCUUUGUAUGGUCUCAGUCGUAUUGUAUUCUGUAAUGGUCGGACUCUGACGUGGGUAUCAUUGACGAAUUUAGAAUUAAUAACGGGACUGUUUCGGAACGGUUUCGGCAAAAACGGUUUGCAAUCGACAAGAUCUGGAUGCAAUCUGGACUCAAUCGGCAGAAAAACAGCAAUGAAAAAUUUCUCCAGAUCAUUCCCGUUCCACAGGACACCGUCACGAAUACACAGAACAUUGUUAGGAAUUCGAUCCGAUACAGCAGAAUCUGUCACGUCAUAGACACGAUUG